rnacentral:rRNA from 1 species
UACGUAGGGGGCAAGCGUUGUCCGGAAUCAUUGGGCGUAAAGCGCGUGUAGGCGGCUCGAUAAGUCUGCUGUGAAAGUCCAAGGCUCAACCUUGGGAUGCCGGUGGAUACUGUCGAGCUCGAGUCCGGAAGAGGAGUGUGGAAUUCCUGGUGUAGCGGUGAAAUGCGCAGAUAUCAGGAGGAACACCAAUGGCGAAGGCAGCACUCUGGGACGUUACUGACGCUGAGACGCGAAAGCGUGGGGAGCAAACAGG